GGGAGUGGCAGUGGCCCCCGAGCUGCAGCCUGCAUCGCGGCGGGACCCGCAGCCCGGAGUUCGAGGGGGUAACCCGAGCCCUCCAAGCUCUUGAAGCCGCGAGGGUGGCUUAGCUUCGGUGUUUUGGCUGAGAACACCCUUAAAGCUUAAAAUAAAACCUGCCUGUGGGGUGCGGGGGAGUAGAGAGGAGGACGCGAAUCACACCCGUUGCUGCCCCCCAGCCCUCCCCGUCUGUACAAUGGGAUGCUCGGGACUCGGACGGGAGGAUCCAGUGACUGCGAGCCCUGGAUUCGCCUGAUCCCAGCCUCACACCCCCAGCCAGCCCCCAGAGACCCUCCCACACUUACGAAGGAAAUGCAUGCGGCCAGGAGGAGGAUCCGCACCAGGAGCAGGGAGCUCUACCCAGGAAAAAGAAGAAAAGGACAGAUUCAUUUGGGGUUCAGCCUCAUGCCCCCUACACCCCAGACUUUGUGGCUAAGGUAAGAGAAUCAGGCCACCUUGAGGUUCAUCAAGGUCAUCCCAUUAAAACCUCCCAAAUCUCUGGAUCUCAGGACUCUGUUUUCUCAGUAUCCUCUUCCCCCUGCGAGCAUUGGACAACGGCCCAGCUCUUCCUUAAGAAACCCUGAAGGGAGAAACGCGUGCAUGCGUGUGCGUGUGUUUUGGGGGUGCAGGAGGGCAUUAAUUACCAGCCUUUCUUCCAAGGGACACUUACCAUUGGGGCCGUAUUUCUCUAGAUUCCGCUUAACUUGGUCCGGGGUGAGGCCCGUGGUCUCACUCACCCCAAAAUAGGCCAAACAUUCCUCCGUGGUUUUAGCAUGAGCGGCCUCCAUUGCGCUCCCUUCCUGGGGGCCGGGGCCGGUGUGUUCCUUCUGGGGGUUUCCCACUCGUGGGGGGUCUUCCUCAGUGUGUCCAACUGCCUGUCUGCCUGGGUUUCUUCUUCUCACUCUCCUGCCCCCUCCAGGUUUUUCUUCCCUCCACAAAGCUCUGACCCCCGUCCCACUUGAGCAGCCGGCCACCCCCCGGUCCCCAGCUGGUCCUUAUGAGGGAGCAGGGGGAGGCCGGGCUCCCCCCUCCUCCAGAUCAGGGAUUGGCUGGCUGAGACUCCAGCAGGAGGGGUCAGAAAAGAGAGAUAUUUCUGCUGACAGAGGGGGAACAGUGGGGCUGCAGCCUGAGAUGUCACUCAUGAGGGACGCAAAGGUAGCCCCAGCCCCAGGGAAGUGGGGUAGGGAGAGACUUCACUUUCUGUCAUCUGCUACUGACCCCACCCCCCCAUUGCCUCGACUUCCCCAGUUGCAUUGAAUUUCCCAUUCCAAACUCAUCCCCCCAGUUCUUCCCUGAGCCCUCUUCCAUCCCCGGCCUCACCUGUCCCUUUCCUCACACCCUCCUUCCUGCCUCAUCUGCCUGGAGCCUCUUUCCAUUGCCGCAGUCUCCUUCCUCCUCACCCAGUUUGCUGAAGCAGUGGCAGAGAUACCCCAAGCCUUUGGGGGACUGAUGAAGGGAGAACACCUUUUGGGGGCUAGAGGAAGUGGCUCCUAGAGGGACAAGGGGAAGUGAGGAGGGGAGAGAGUCAAGGGGACAGGGCCGAAGAUGGUAACCUUACCCUAGGGAGGGGUUGCCACAGCCAUCAACAAGGGAUUUAGUGUCCAGGCCCUGGUGAGCAAAGCCAGCACUGCCUGUCUGUCCCCAAAACUGCCCCCCCUUCCUCAUCGCUCUAACUCAGCCUCUGGGAACAGAACCCUCAGGGCCCCCCCAUCCUGGAUAGGGAAUCCCCACCCCCCCCAAGAAAAUGGGACACCAAGGCAGCCAAGUAACCCAAGAGGCUGCAGAAUGUGCUGAUGGCAGAGGGGGAGGGGUAACUGUCUCAGGAUGGGGGCAGGGGUCACCCCAAGUCGUGCACUGAGGGCCACCUCAUCCCACACUGUGCUCUAACCAACGGGGUUUCCGUGGCCAGCCCCAGAGGCCUGUGGUCUGCACUGUACUCUGCCCUGCUGCAUCUGUGCACGAGGGGAACAGGAUCAGGCCCAUGCUGUGUGUGCCCAGGAGCUGGGCAGGCCCCACAGAAAGGUGUCAGGGCCUGGGGAAGCUGGACCAAGCAGGGGCUCCCGACCAAAGGAAUGGGGAAGGGUAGACUUCUGGGGACAGGUCUGGGGGAAAUGAGGACAGAUGUCUAGACCUAGGGGGAAACGGAGCAGAGACACAGAGCCACCAGGGUCAGAGGGAAGUCCGAGAGGAGCAGUGGGGAAGAGGGACAGCAGGGAGCCAGGUGGGCGGCGACCCCGGCGCUGGGUGCAAAGCCACAAGUUGUUGCUGAACGCUGGCCUUGGUGUCAGCUUCCUCAGAGAAGCAGCUGCUCUGAGCUGCCCCUCCCCACCCCUGCUCCAGGAUGGGGGCGUCUCUUGGUUACCACCAGGGCAGCUGCUGGAGGAGCCGAGGGAGGGUACCAGGGGUGCAGGAGGGGGAGGACAGGCAGGCAGAGAGGCUGGAUGACAGUCAGGGUGAAAGGUCAGUGAGGGGAAGGGGCCUGGUGCCCUGGGCUCAAGUCUGUCCUCCGUCUAGGCCUGUUUCCUGAAAUGAGCAGAGGCGUGUGGACUUCCUAAGUGUGGCUUCUUAAGGCUGCUUUCCAUUCUGGGGCUCAAACUCCGAAGCAGAGGACAGAAUAGGAAACAGCAGAGCAAAGAAAACGGAGGCCCCCACUUUUGGGGAGGGGGAUGGCAGCAGGAGUGGAUGGAACUUGAGAGUUCAGCCUCCCAGAUGCAUCCCUUCUGCCUGGACUUGGGUGAAGCGAAACCUCCUGGGUGAGUUGAGGACAAGGUGCUCUUUCCCGCCUCCUUUUCACAGUUCCAACAAACCCAUCCCCUGAAGCAGAGUCCUGCUGUGACCUGAGGGGAGUGGGGGACAGUGGGCUGAAUGGGGGGUGCAGGAGAGCAUUAAUUAGCAGCCUCUCUUCCAAGAGACACAGCCCCCGGCACCUCCACCUAGCCCAGCACCCACCGUCUCCGCUGGACUCAGGCUCACACCCGCCAAGGCUUUUGGCGCUGGCCGGUGUCUCCCCACUGGCACCUGGAGGAGUGACAGGGGCUACUGUCUUACAGCAGUGGGAAUGCCCAAACAUGGAGAGGGGCAGACGGAGAGAUGGGCAGCUUUGAGGGAGUCGAGAGCCUGAGACAGAGGGCAGGGGGCAGGCUUGGCAACACAUUCCUGAGAACAGGCCUUUAAAGUUAUGCAUUUCUACCUCCCCCGGCUUCCCAGAGGGGGAAACAAGCCAGGGAGGGAAAGCCACCGGCCAGGGCCAGGAGCUGCGGAAGCGCCGCUCUUGGGGAGGCUGUGGGUGUGAACUGCCACGGAGGGAGGCUGAGCCAGAGGCGCCCUCGGGGAUCCCUUCCCACAGGGGUCUCCAUGCCCAGGGAUGGAAAGUGAUCCUCCUGUCACACCUGAGGGCUGGAGCUACAAGCAUGGGACACGAAGACAGCCUGGCCAGUCCCUGAUGAGUGCAGAACUUCGGUUUAACCAUCUGUAAAGAAAGGCUUAGAGGGAAAGUCUCUCAGGCCCCAACAGCCAAGACUUGCCGGUCUGAGGAGUGGGUGGGUGUCCUGGUCCCCCUCCCUUGCCCAUCUUUGGAAGGCAGGUCUCUGAAGGCUGGCAGUGCUGGGGGGAGGGGGAGCCUCAGAGCACCAGUUGCUGCUGGAAGAUUAGGAGGGGAUCAGGCCCUGCUUACCCCGGGGCGCCACAGCCUUCACUGGCCAUCUCACUAAGAACACAGCACCCGGCUCUCCAAAGCUUCCCCCCCCUUUCAAGGCCGGUCCUAUCCCCAGUCUCCUGAGGCCAAGGUUUGGGGAGCCCCAGGAAUUAGAGCAAGCAGGAGAGCCAGCAGGCUUCCCUCGGCUAGCCCCCCGCCUGGGUGGCCUGGAAGCCCAGCUGUCUCCUGUCCAUCUCCCAACAGGACACAAGGCCCAGAAUAGCAAGGUCAUGAGCGUGGGUAGGGCCUCCUGGAGGUGGGGGCUGAGGCUGAGGAGCAUGAGGGUGUGGGCUCCUUGCUGCCUGGGCAGGGAGUGAGGCAGGAUGCUGAAAGGCAGAGCUGGACAGCGGGGAAGGGAGAGGGCCGAGCUCAGCAGGUGGGAUUCUUCAGCCCCAGGCCCCUCCUUGUUGGCACCCACUGCCCCCAGAGCUAGGAAGCCCAGGGGUGCCCUCUGUUGGAGGGCACAGCCGCGGAUCAGGAAGACUAAUUCCAAGAGCAGAGCCUGUGUUUAACGGGGUGGAGGGGUGUGCCACAAUGGGGGUGGUGUUAUAAACUCAAAUGCCCACAGGGCCAGGCCCUCCCAGGGAGCAAAGUGAGCUGGUGGGGAUGGGGCAGAUGUGGAAAUGGACCCACAGCUGGAUCUUCUGAUUUUUAAGAGAAGCCAGUGAUUUUUUUUUUUUUUUUUUUAGACAGAGUCUUGCUCUGUUGCCCAGGUUGGAGUGCAAUGGUGCAAUCUCGGCUCACAGCAACCUCUGCCUCCUGGGCUCAAGCAAUUCUCCUACCUCAGCCUCCUGAGUAGCUGGUAUUAUAGGUGCGCACCAACACGCCCAGCUAAUUUUUUGUAUUUUUAGUAGAGACGGGGUUUCUCCACGUUGGUCAGGCUGGUCUCGAACUCCUGACCUCAGGUGAUCCACCCACGUCGGCCUCCCAAAGUGCUGGGAUUACAGGUGUGAGCCACCGCACCCAGCCUGCGAUCUGAAUUUUUAAUGUGAAACUCAAAUGGACACCAUGUCCAGGCCAAGCAAACCAUGUCAGCAGCUCUGACUCAAGAUGAAACUUCACAUGUCACAGAUGAGGAUGCUCAGGCCCGGUGUGGCUACACCUUGCCCAGGCCAGUGAGUGGCAAGGCCAGGACAGAAGCUAGCGCUCUCUGCCGUCCACCCUCCAGCCUGGCUCUGAGAAGGGGGGGCAUUGGGCCCCUCUGUGGCUACUCUGUGACUGCCACAUUCAAUCUCUUCCAGCACAGCCACCAUGCCCCCCAUCUCUUGCUGCCAGCUCUCUCUAGGGUAGGAAGCCAUAACUCAGGAAGGGCCGCUGGAGAUCACCAUGCCUGCCAUUCACAGCACCGUCCCAUGACAAAAACUUGCAGGAGACCCCAAGAGCAUCAUUUAGUGCUCCACAAACAAGGCUGUCAGAGACAGGGAUGGCCCCGAAAGCACAGCACUGCAGAGCGAUGGGGACUCAGCCUGGGCCAGCCCUCUGGCCUGUGGGCACUGAGUGGGCUGCCUUCCCAACCCAACUGUCCCCAGUCCCUACAGCAAACACUGGCCAUAGCCAUCACGAUAGAACCGAGAUAAACCUUUUUAUUUAUU